rnacentral:lncRNA from 1 species
CGGCGGCUCCCGGGUCUGCGCUGCCCCGAUUUGCACGUUCGUCACACCGGUGCCCUCACAAACACGAGCGUGACGCCGACGCCCUUCGGAGUACCUGGGAGAGUCCCCCGCACCACCGGCCUUCCCUAGAUUGUACUUCCCCCGUCUGAAGUGCCCCCAGAGUGUGGCCCCGGGGUGCAUGCUAAGGAAUUAACAAAGCCCACGGAGCGGUGCUUACACGGCUCAAUGCGUUUUAAAAGCUGAACAUCAGAGCUUUUGUUUCCGGAUUAGCUCACCAAGAAAGGAGAAAGUCUCAAUCUAGGGAAUUUAAAACGUGGGGCAAGGUUUGUUCACUGAGACCUCCUGGUGCAAGACAUUAGAAACCAGUGGUGUUCAGGUCAGUGAACCUUCUGAAUGCUCAGUGCACCUGUCCCAGGUACCGGUCCAAUGUGUGAGCUCAGGAGAUGUUCCUUGACCGAAGAGAAGGGAUAUGCACAAGGCUCCAGGCUUGAAGAUAGAAGAAAAAUGAGAUCAUUCUUGUCCUCCAGGAGUUUUCUUACACACUUUUAUUUGACCUCACAUAUGAUGGAACAAAACCAUGUUAUGAGCCAUAAGAGCUGCAAAGUGCUGAUUAAGGAGAGUACAUAUGGCUACGGAAGACGUGGAAGAGAGGGAAGCUGGAUUUCUGGCAAUUUCAGAGUUUAAGAACAUAGCCCUGAAACCGAAAGUGAAGGAUGGCUCUGAGUCAUCAUCAGUUACCGGAUCAAACCGGAGCUCUUCAUGCCAAGCAAAGGCCUUUGGACACUCAUUCUGUGCCCAUUUACUCUUACUUUACCUAUGAUAUUGAAUACAUUAGCCCCUCCCGCAAUCUUAUCAGGUAAGAAACAGUAAGUUAAAAGGGAGGAGAAAUAAGACACUAAGGUGUAAGGAAGAGUAAAAAAUGUAGUGAUAGUGAUAUGGGAGGGAAAUAUAGAUUAAAGUAAAUGUCCUUAUAACCUGCAGCCCAUUGACAAAUACUUGAGGCAGGCAGAGUAUAAAUUUACUCCUGGAAACUCCCAAAUGUCUUAAUGCUAAUGCCUUGCUAGAGGGGAAAACAAUCUUGGUUUGACAAUAGCAAGGCCUCAGGUUUCCUUAGUCUUCUUUAGCAUAUGAAAAUCCUUUUGAAACUCCCCUUCUCUUUACUUCCCCCGACCCCAAAGUAUAUAAUCAGUUGUUCCCAGGCACGUGGGUGGCUCAUGGUUGAGCAUAUACCUUUGGCUCAGGUUGUGAUCCCGGGAUCCUUGGAUCGAGUCCCUCAUCUGCUUCUCCCUCUACCUAUGUCUCUGUGUCUCUCUCUGUGUCUCUCAUGAAUAAAUAAAAUCUUAAAAAAAAAAAAAUCA